UGUGCAUUAUUGAUCAGCCAAUCUUGAGAGAGAGAUGGGUUGGCGUGAAUGGGAAGAAAACUACAUUGAAUGGACAAGAAGUAUGCCCUCAACUUUUUCAUGGUAUGUCUUACUUAUUGUUCUUGUGAUUUUUCCAUCAGUUUCACUUUACAUUUCUUCUUUGCUUUUUCAUGGCAUCGGGAUGCCCACUGGCGACGGUGCUGCGUUGCUACCAAAGGGGCACCCUGCCGCGGCCGGGGACUCGCUGCCGUCGAAGCACGACACCUUGCCGUCACGUAUGUUGGGUGUUGUGGUGCUGCAGGUCCUUGGGGUUGGGUGCGGCAACUCGAGACUCGAAGACGAUCUUCUGUGGUAGGGCGUCGCCGCCGGCGGCGGCACCUGUAUAGACCGUCUCGGUGUGACAGAAGAGUUCGGAGUUCACUCCGAGAAAGAAUUGCUUUGCAUGUACAUUUGCUGAAAGACUGAUGUGCUGAACUUUCGAUGAUUUCGAUUGGUAUUCAACUUGAGGAAUUUCAUACUUUUGGAGUGGAGCUAUCAAAUAUAUGUGUGCUCGAUGUUGGUGUUUUAAUCCGGAUCUCUCGCUGAAGGUGCUCGAUGUUGGUGUUUGAAUACUGCUACCGUACUUCAAGUCUAUGAAGAAUUGCAAGGAGGAGGAUAAUAGAGCAGCAACCAGAGCUGACAAUUGGCCUGUAAAUGCAGCAAAGUUCUCCUAGAGGUAGCGGGGCGCUUGAGGUGAGGUGGCUGCAGGGUCGCUCGAGAAGAAC